GUCAGUUACUCUGUUAUGCUGCGUAUUUGUCUCAUGAUGCAGUUUUUGUUUUAAAGUGGAGUUUUACUUUCUACUGUAAGCUAUACCAACAGUUUUUAAAAUCACUGCCAGUUAUGUUUGAUGUAUCUUUGAUUUAAUUUUAAAAUCUAAGUAUUAGAGAGUGAAGAUUUGCCGAAGUAUGGAGAACCCGAAGGAUCAAGUAAAGUUGGUGUCGUCGGCGGUAAUACAGGAUCGACCUUACUGAAUCCUCGUUCAGAAGAAGGUCAUCGGCAUCUGAGAUAACCCCUGCUUUGUGAGAGCAGAAAGAGUUUGCAGUGUUCAUUCACGAAGCAAAAGGCUCUGCGUUACACCACCCUUGACAAGCUGGACCAAAACACAAGUGAUCCUGAAGAUCUGGAAAUCAAGAAAACACACACAAAAUGCUAGCAAAACUCAGCAGGUCAGGCAGCAUCUAUGGAAAUUAAUCAACUCUGGAAGACCCUUCAUUUCCAUAGUUGCUGCCUGAUUUGCUGGGUUCUGCCAGCAUUUUGUUUAUAUUGCUCCGGAGUGAAUCAAAAAAUGGCAAGAGAAGCUUGUGUGGUCCUGAGAUCCUGAGAGAGAUGCCGUCUGGAGCUAUGCUCCUGGAAGGGUCGAGGGUGAGGUCCCUGAAAAAGAACAAUACAACCGAGACCUCAACGGUGGACCAGGCGGACUCGGUUACUUCGAAUUCAAUGGCUGUGAAGGCGGAUGAAGGCUGCAACAAAUCCAUCAGCUCCAGUCGUCGUGGUUUCCAUGCCACUGGAAUCAGUUGUUUGAUUUGUGAAGUAUCGUGUGCUUCUUUGGAGUGCAACAUCAAGUACACGUUAAACAAAUACACGCACAGGCGUCUUCGCUCUGUGGGCCAUGACUUUCCAAGUUGAGAGCCUAUAAAUAGAUCAAGGGAAUGAAGAUCAUCAUCCUCGACCUCAAGGGAUAGCCACGCUGACCUGUCCUAGUUGCCCUUCAGAUGCUAUAAUUAAGUCACCUCCUCUGCCAGUCACUCCAGAUACCAACUACUCUUUGUGUGAAAAGUGUACUACUCAGAUCAUCUUUAAAAUUCCUUUCAGCUUAAACCUAUGCUUCUAGUUUUAGGCACCUCACCAUGUGAAUAAGACAUUGACUAUCUCAGUUUCUCCUAAUUUUAUAUUCUUACAUUGCAUUACUUCUCAGUCUCCUCUUUUCCUGGGGAAACACACCCAGCCUAUCUCAUCUCUCCUUAAUACUCAAGAUCUCCAAUCCAGGCAACAUCCUUGCUAAUCUUCUCCGUACCCUCUCUGGCAUAAUUUACAUCUGCAGUGGCCAGAGCUGGAUGCACUAAGCAUGGUCUAACCAAUGAAUUGUGCAAUUGAAACAUAAUAUACUAACUCCUGUACUCAGUAAUUUGGAUAAGAAAGAUGAAGGUGCAAUAUGUUUCAUCACCCUGUCUUCCUGUGUUGUCACAUUCAACAAUAGUGUACUGUUGUUGUAUCCCUGAAUCUCACCAAUCCUUAGGGUUUUGCCAUUCGCUGAACAAUUCUUGUUCUAAUUUAACUUCUCCAAUAAAUCACUUUGCCCAUGUCGGAGUUAAAUUCCAUCUGGCAUUGCUUUGCACACAUUCAUUUCCAGUUGAUCAAUAUUCUGUUGUAGACUUAGAUAGCCUUCAUCACUUUCCAGUGUACCAACAAAUUAAUGGCAUCUGCAAACUUACUAAAUAUGCCAUCUAUACUUUCAGUAAAUCAUUAAUAUACAUGACAAAUGACAGUGGACCCAGUACUGAUCUCCUGUGGGACACAGGCCUACAAUCUGAAGAAUUGGAUCGAGAAUAGACAAUAAUUAGAUGGACCAGAUGUGUUCUGAUAUUUUCCGAACAGGGCAUACCUCAGCAACUUUCCCCAUUGUCAGACUGAUACCAAUUUGUAAUUGCAAGUAUACUGAAAUAUUUUGUCUAGAGGCACCACUGUAUCUAGAGACUGCUCUCUAGGCAUUCCUUGUGAGAGAAAAUCAAAUUGGCUGCAGAUUUCUGAUACUGAUACUGGAAGAGCUGAGGUGGAUGCUCUAUAUGGCACUCCUGGCUGAACCUGAUUAUGAGUGCUUUAAUUUGGCCUUUAGCACUCAUACCUGACUGUACUGUCAUUGGGGGUGACAACAUUCUUGAAGCCAUCUCCUCCCAUUAGUUGCUUUGUUGUUCACCACUAUUUAAGACUGGAUAUGAUGGGAUUGCAGAGUUUUGUUUUGACCCAUUUGUUGGAUGUUGCUUCCUGCUUUCAUUGGUUAACACACAAAUGGCCUUGUCUUACAGCUUUACCUCUGCCUGGUGUUACUUCCAUUCAUCACUAGACUCUGGCUUGAAGAUGAGGCAUGGAAUUCCAAACCGCACCACUCCAUCAGUUAUACUCUGUGCCCUUGAAACUUGCAGAACUUCCAAGUGUUGUCUGUCACGGAAGGCCACUAGAUAUGAGUAGACAGUGAGUCACAACUUGUGCAGUCAGGAAUUGACAGCUACAAGAUAGAGUUCAGACACAGUUUUCCCUUCUGAUGGGAAGCAUAGAUCACAGGGAAGCUGAAUAUCUACCAAUGCUUGAACCAUGACAAAUACGACAAUGUUAUAAAAUCUCUGCCUGCAUCCAACCUUGUUCUUUGCAAAAGGAAGAGAGCAGGGUGGCCCUUCUUUGUAUUGGGAUAGUGCAUCACUGUCUUGUGAUAAGCAGAAAUGUUUGAGGUAUGGCACAGAACAGAUGACAGCACCUUAAAUAGGGAAUUGAGGGUGACAGUGACUUGAUUUGGAUAGGAAAAUGGUUCUGAAGUGGUGUCGGGCUUAAUUGCAUCUGCAAAGAAUAAGAAACAAAAAAAAAUGAAAAGAAGUCAGCUAGUCUCUCUGACAUUUUCCACCAUUCAAAAGCAUCAUGGCUAAUACAAUCUUUGUCUCAACAUCAUUCUCCUGGCCACUCUAUAUCUUGACUUCCUUUUAGUUCAAAUAACUAACCUUCCCCAUAAAUAUAUUCAAUUAUUCUACUUUGCAAUUCCCUGAUAUUCAGAAAUUCAAAGAUUCCCAGCCUCCAGAUAAGAAAUUCCUUCUCAUUUCUACCUUGAAUAGAAAUUUCUUAUUCUAAAACCUUUGUCCUUCAUUCUAGAUACUCCAUCUAGUUAAGUACCUCCUGAGCAUUCCUGCCGUUCCUCCCAGAAUGCUUCAUAUUUCAGUAAAAUCACUUCUGAUUCUUCGAAGCACCGUGCAUUAUAGAUCUGGUUGUUAAUUUUUUCUGCACUCAUUUUUUUCCAAAGAGGGAAUUUAUAUUCCAAUCUCUGUACCCAUAGAUAGUGAAUUGUCACAUUGCUCCUUGAAGAGGUUAUUUUAUGAGGUAUGUUCAUUUAGAAUCUCUUGUAGGAAGGAGGUGGGGUUGAUUGUGGAUCGCCUUCCUCAAAAUCUGGGAAUGUCUUUUAUACCUCUAAUGCAUAGCCUGCCACUUGCUCAGAUAGCAAGCAAGAAGCACCCAUACAAAAUAUAAAUGUUCAAGAAAUGAAAAGACUGUGGGCAUUACCCAAUGUCUCUCUACACAAUAGAAGCAGUGUUCAGGAUCAAAGUCUUUCUUCAGAAUGUCAUGCAGUACAAUGUCCAAAAACUGGGAGCUGCCCUUUAAGUUACAAGCUGCACACCAAAUAGUGCCUCAGUUCAGUUACGAUUGACCAGCACAGAUGUGUUUUGGAACAUUUAUUACAGAGUAAAAGGAGGUCUAUAUCAACUUAUCAGAACCAAGUAUGUGAAGGAAUUUCCACGGCAAAUUUUAUUCAGCAAUCACAUAAUUACACCACACUUAUUUUUUAUAAGUGCUACCACAACCUGAAACAAAUAUACAAUUAUCUCACUGCAUUGACAGCUGGCUGGUUGCCUUGUUAAUUAUCUAUGGACUAACCAUAAUGUCAAGUUGAAGCAAGCAUGUUUUUUUAUUCCAGUCUAAUCAACUGCUUGAUUGGUUCUUUUAUCUUUAUGCGAUAAUAAUAUGCAUAAUUUUGGAUAUUCCAAGCAAACAUUUAACCUGUUGAUACAAUUGCAACAGGUUCAGAACACAUUGCCAUCUCAAUAAUUUGGUUUAUUUGUAUCUGUAAACUAAAAUUAUUCUGGAUUACUAAGUGGCUCUUUGUUCUUCUAGUUUGUUUUCAAAAACCACUGACUGAUGUGCCAGCAUUAUUAUAAAACUCCUUUUCUACAAACCAUUUUCUUAAGAAUAUCUGAACAACUCUGUUUAUGUUGUUCACUCUUCAUUAUGUGUGGUAAUGUAAUAAUGGUUUAUUGUGCAUUAACUGUUGUAUCCAGGAAAAAUAUGACCACUUUUGUUGUCAUCUAUUAUUAUUUCACAUUUUGUCUCUCUAUUAUCAAUUCUGUGAUCUAGGUACUCAAUUUUCUUUCUCACAAUCAUGAAUUUUAAUCCUUUUAAUGGAUUUGAGGUGGAAGGAAAGUACAUAUGGAUAUGAGAGUUAUUCACAGAUUUCUUACCUUGCAAGUUGUUUAGAAGGAGCUGUUUUAGAUGUUUCUGCAAAGAUAUCCAGUGUCUCUAUAUUGGCCAUUUUAAUGGUUUAUUCAUAUCAAUGAACAUUUCUUCCAUAAUUAUCCCUGUAGAUAUGAUUUCCUUCACUUCCUCCAAAGCAACCGUUCUCCUACA